CCUACGGGAGGCAGCAGUAGGGAAUUUUCGUCAAUGGGCGCAAGCCUGAACGAGCAAUGCCGCGUGAACGAGGAAGGUCUUCGGAUUGUAAAGUUCUGUUGAAGGGGAAAAAGAGCGGAGAGAGGAAAUGGUCUCCGAUUGAUAUUACCCUUCGAGGAAGUCACGGCUAACUACGUGCCAGCAGCCGCGGUAAUACGUAGGUGGCGAGCGUUAUCCGGAAUGAUUGGGCGGAAAGGGUGCGUAGGCGGCCUGCUAAGUCUGGAGUGAAAGGUACCGGCUCAACCGGUACAGGCUCUGGAAACUGGCGGGCUAGAGAGCAGGAGAGGGCGGUGGAACUCCAUGUGUAGCGGUAAAAUGCGUAGAUAUAUGGAAGAACACCAGUGGCGAAGGCGGCCGCCUGGCCUGUUACUGACUCUGAGGCACGAAAGCGUGGGGAGCAAAUAGGAUUAGAUACCCGGGUAGUC
rnacentral:rRNA from 1 species